UACGGGGGGGGUAAGCGUUGUUCGGAAUUACUGGGCGUAAAGGGCUCGUAGGCGGCCAACUAAGUCCUACGUGAAAUCCCUCAGCUUAACUGGGGAACUGCGUGUGAUACUGGAUGGCUUGGAUUUGGGAGAGGGAUGCGGAAUUCCAGGUGUAGCGGUGAAAUGCGUAGAUAUCUGGAGGAACACCGGUGGCGAAGGCGGCAUCCUGGACCAAUAUUGACGCUGAGGAGCGAAAGCCAGGGGAGCAAACGGG
rnacentral:rRNA from 1 species